CCUGUUCGAGCGUCAUUACAACCCUCAAGCACUGCUUGGUAUUGGAUGUCACCACUGUGGUGUAUCUCAAACGUAUUAGCAGUUACAUUCAGCUUCUAGCGUAGCAAAUUUCUCGCUUUGGAGCUAAGUGUCUAAUUGUUAGAACUCCUAAUUUAUCAAAGGUUGGCCUCGGAUCAGGUAGGGAUACCCGCUGAACUUAA
rnacentral:misc_RNA from 1 species